AGCGAACGCUGGCGCAGGCUUAACACAUGCAAGUCGAACGGGCGUAGCAAUACGUCAGUGGCAGACGGGUGAGUAACGCGUGGGAACGUACCUUUUGGUUCGGAACAACACAGGGAAACUUGUGCUAAUACCGGAUAAGCCCUUACGGGGAAAGAUUUAUCGCCAAAAGAUCGGCCCGCGUCUGAUUAGCUAGUUGGUGAGGUAACGGCUCACCAAGGCGACGAUCAGUAGCUGGUCUGAGAGGAUGAUCAGCCACAUUGGGACUGAGACACGGCCCAAACUCCUACGGGAGGCAGCAGUGGGGAAUAUUGGACAAUGGGCGAAAGCCUGAUCCAGCCAUGCCGCGUGAGUGAUGAAGGCCCUAGGGUUGUUAAAGCUCUUUUGUGCGGGAAGAUAAUGACGGUACCGCAAGAAUAAGCCCCGGCUAACUUCGUGCCAGCAGCC
rnacentral:rRNA from 1 species